GGGCCCGCACAAGCGGUGGAGCAUGUGGUUUAAUUCGAUGAUACGCGAGGAACCUUACCAGGGCUUAAAUGUAAGUUGCAUUAGUUAGAGAUAGCUAUUUCUUCGGACCACUUACAAGGUGCUGCAUGGUUGUCGUCAGCUCGUGCCGUGAAAUGUCAAGUUAAGUCUUGUAACUGAGCGCAACCCAUGUCUUUUGUUAGCUGUUUACAGUGCUUAAAAGAGACUGCCGCUCUACAGCGGAGGAAGGUGUGGAUGAUGUCAAGUCAGCAUGCCCCUUAUAUCUUGGGGCUACACACGUGCUACAAUGGCAGUGACAAUGAGAUGCUAAACGGCGACGUU
rnacentral:rRNA from 1 species